UACGUAGGGGGCGAGCGUUGUCCGGAUUUAUUGGGCGUAAAACGCUUGUAGGCGGCCACCGCGCGUCGGACGUGAAAUCUCCCGGCUCAACUGGGAGGGGUCGUGCGAUACGGCGAGGCUCGAGGCCGGUAGGGGGACGCGGAAUUCCCGGUGUAGUGGUGGAAUGCGUAGAUAUCAGGAAGAACACCAACGGCGAAGGCAGCUCGCUAGGACGGUACUGACGCUGAGACGCGAAAGCGUGGGGAGCGAACAGG
rnacentral:rRNA from 1 species